rnacentral:rRNA from 1 species
UACGGGGGGAGCAAGCGUUGUUCGGAUUUACUGGGCGUAAAGGGCGCGUAGGCGGCCUGUGCAAGUCAGUUGUGAAAUCUCCGAGCUUAACUCGGAACGGUCAACUGAUACUGCUCGGCUAGAGUGCGGAAGGGGCAACUGGAAUUCUUGGUGUAGCGAUGAAAUGCGUAGAUAUCAAGAGGAACACCUGCGGCGAAGGCGGGUUGCUGGGCCGACACUGACGUUGAGGCGCGAAAGCUAGGGGAGCGAACGGG